rnacentral:misc_RNA from 1 species
GAUGAAGAACGCAGCGAAAUGCGAUAAGUAAUGUGAAUUGCAGAAUUCAGUGAAUCAUCGAAUCUUUGAACGCACAUUGCGCCCGUCAGUAUUCUGGCGGGCAUGCCUGUUCGAGCGUCAUUACGCCCCUCAAGUCCCCUGUGGACUUGGUGUUGGGGAUCGGCGAGGCUGGUUUUCCAGCACAGCCGUCCCUUAAAUUAAUUGGCGGUCUCGCCGUGGCCCUCCUCUGCGCAGUAGUAAAACACUCGCAACAGGAGCCCGGCGCGGUCCACUGCCGUAAAACCCCCCAACUUUUUAUAGUUGACCUCGAAUCAGGUAGGACUACCCGAUGAACUUAAGCAUAUCAAUAAGCGGAGUA